UAACUCAGUCAGUGUAACGACUGAGUCAGGGGCUGGGUGACCGAGGAAUCGGGAUUCGAUUCCUGGCAGAAGCAAGAGAUUUUUCUCUUCUCCAUAACAUCCAGACAUGUUCUGAAGCCCACCCAGCCUCCUAUAUAGUGGGUACCGAGAAGUAAUAAGGCAGGACGUGAAGCUGACCACACCUCCAUCUAGUGCCAAAGAAAAGACUGGUGAAGUUAUACGCCCACCUCCACAUGUCUUCAUGCCGUGUUAAUUAUCACCUAUGCAUCAUGCUGUAAAGGAACAUAAGGGACAUGAAGGCAGAGCUCCAUCCACUCUACACUUCAACAUUACUGGAAAAAGUAUGCUCCAAAAUGCUUGGAUAGGAAACUUGAGCCAGGUUAUGAGUAUCCAAGAAUCCAGGAUUCUCACACAACCAGCAUAUGUUCAUCCGCCACACAGCAGCGCUCCCAGCUGCCACUAACACUGCUACCCAUCAUCCUACCUCAUGCAGGUGCCACUACAGUUAAGAGUGAUCCAUAAUCACUGUAGAGGCUAGUAGAAUUUGUAAUGGCAUUACAGCAUAUACAAGAUCUUUCACCCACCAAUCCACUGCCACCUAUGGGGACUCACACGCAGAAUUAAGGCAAAACUUUGUUGUUUUAUGUUUGAAAUAGAAAAUGGAAAUAUGUAAAAGACUAGCAAAAGAUGAAAAUCACAUAAAAGGUUUGCUUUUAAGUUUCUCAUGCCACCAGCAAAUUCAUACACCUGGAACAUCCCAUUCCCAAAAUGUGCUGAAAACUAGGAAUGCACUGUAUAUAGAAACAGUAUAACAGUUUCAAGCCAGGGAAACAAAAAUUCAUGUUAAUGAAAUGUUAUGCAUGGAACUUGACUUCUUAUACUUCCAAGCAUAAUACACAAAAGUUUAAUUCCUUUCUCCUCUUCUUGUUAAAUCUGUUCCCCCCUUCUGUUUCCCAUGAACACUGCUUCAUUCCAUCCAAGACGCUAUAAAAUAGUCAUGCUACUUUUGAAAAACUGAAUUAUCAUUUUUAAUUAUAUUGGUAAGGCACAGAAAACGCAGCACAAAACUAGACUUUGUAUGUGCCUGCACAUAUAUACACACAUAAGUCAAGGCCAACUGAAUUUUAUUUAUUCAAACAGAGUGUAUUACUGGUUUUUUUUAAAGACAGAAUCAAGAUCUGAAACUCUGUAUAAUAGUGCAUGUAAAGGGCCAUUAGUUAGUGCACAGAAAAAUCAGGCUCCACAGAAAAGUGACAUGGGUUAAUGACCUUUUCAGAAAAUUGUUCUAAGCAAUAUGUCCUCUAAGAGGUAAGUUGGAGAGAAAUAUGGCAAAGACCAAAAAAUUCAUAUCAUGGUUUCUGGGUUGACACCGUGUAGUCUGGUAGGUAGUUGCUGGCAUUUUAGAAAAAUAUAUAGUACUGCCCUCACCUUCAAAGCAGAAG